ACGGRUUGAUUCCUAGCCCUUUACAGGGAACUAGGGCAAUUAUACAACAAUCCUAAUAGUGUCGUCCAAAAUCUGGUGCCAGAAGACUCGGUAACACCAGAGACGCGAACGUUAAUCAUCUUAAAUGGGCAUAAAGGGUUUGUAGGCAGCUUUAUCAGUCCGUGCGGGCAUAAAAAUAAAGAUAGAAUCUAAUAGAGGUUAAGAUAAUACUUAGAGUAGGGCUCAAAUUCUCAAAUACUAAGGGGAAUACUAGAUGCGAAGGCUCUUUUCCUUAAAAGAUUGACGCUGAGACACGAAGGUGCGGGUAGGAAAUAGGAUU
rnacentral:rRNA from 1 species